rnacentral:rRNA from 1 species
UACGUAGGGUGCAAGCGUUAUCCGGAAUUAUUGGGCGUAAAGAGCUCGUAGGCGGUUUGUCGCGUCUGCUGUGAAAACUGGAGGCUCAACCUCCAGCCUGCAGUGGGUACGGGCAAAACUAGAGUGCGGUAGGGGGAGAUUGGAAUUCCUGGUGUAGCGGUGGAAUGCGCAGAUAUCAGGAGGAACACCGAUGGCGAAGGCAGAUCUCUGGGCCGUAACUGACGCUGAGGAGCGAAAGCAUGGGGAGCGAACAGG